UUACACAUGCAAGUCGAACGGCAGCAUGAUCUAGCUUGCUAGAUUGAUGGCGAGUGGCGAACGGGUGAGUAAUACAUCGGAACGUGCCCUGUAGUGGGGGAUAACUAGUCGAAAGAUUAGCUAAUACCGCAUACGACCUGAGGGCGAAAGUGGGGGACCGCAAGGCCUCAUGCUAUAGGAGCGGCCGAUGUCUGAUUAGCUAGUUGGUGAGGUAAAGGCUCACCAAGGCGACGAUCAGUAGCUGGUCUGAGAGGACGAUCAGCCACACUGGGACUGAGACACGGCCCAGACUCCUACGGGAGGCAGCAGUGGGGAAUUUUGGACAAUGGGCGAAAGCCUGAUCCAGCAAUGCCGCGUGUGUGAAGAAGGCCUUCGGGUUGUAAAGCACUUUUGUCCGGAAAGAAAUGGCUCUGGUUAAUACCUGGGGUCGAUGACGGUACCGGAAGAAUAAGGACCGGCUAACUACGUGCCAGCAGCCGCGGUAAUACGUAGGGUCCAAGCGUUAAUCGGAAUUACUGGGCGUAAAGCGUGCGCAGGCGGUUGUGCAAGACCGAUGUGAAAUCCCCGAGCUUAACUUGGGAAUUGCAUUGGUGACUGCACGGCUAGAGUGUGUCAGAGGGGGGUAGAAUUCCACGUGUAGCAGUGAAAUGCGUAGAGAUGUGGAGGAAUACCGAUGGCGAAGGCAGCCCCCUGGAAUAACACUGACGCUCAUGCACGAAAGCGUGGGGAGCAAACAGGAUUAGAUACCCUGGUAGUCCACGC
rnacentral:rRNA from 1 species